AUUUAGUCAGUCCAAAAACCUAUACAGCAACCCAUCGUUCCAAUAACCUUUUCACUCUAAGAUUUUCAAUUUAGCUCAGGCCAUUCCCAAAUAUCCUUGACCCGGAACACUCCAAAGCACAGAAACCCAACUGUUCCUUACUCUUCUUCACAUUAACAAAAUCUCCCAUAACGACAACAACGACCAACGACGAUCUAUCAAAAUACACGGAAAGCAGCAAAAGACAUAAGUCAGUCCUUUGUCGUCUUUGGCCUGUCCAUUCGCAGUAGCAAAAAGCAGAUAAAGAAGUUGUGAUUCCGUCCUUGUGUCUUUGAGAUGGAUCCACGUCUCUCCCCAUGGACAGUGAAUCCAUCCGAUCCAUCAAUUCGCCCUUUCCUCUUCCGGAAUGAGUCCGGGUUUUGGAUCCAAAUUUGCCCCACCUUUCAAAAGAAAUUGUGACAUAAUUCUUCCUCCAUAUGUAUAUCCUUUUCUCAUUUCUUUGUAAGGGACGACAGAUUAUGGUGGGAGAAAAAAUUAGUAAGAGAUAAAUUAUUAGUUCAUUUCGUUCUUAGAUCGAUAUCUCUGUCCAAACUUCCGAUUUGCUGUCUGUCUUUGAUACUUGGCAUGGUGGAGGCGUCGUCUUCUGUUCAUCAUACUGUUCGCUGCUCCAAAGAAGGUGCAGGCACUGGUGGACGCUAGAGCUUACGGUACAACAUUACAGUUAUCCAAACGUGGAGCUUAUAUCCGGACUUGGUAGGCCCUCAUGCUAUCGAGGAUGUCUACCGUUAUUAUCUAGCUUAGAUGUAGGCUUUAGCUAGUGGAGCAUGUUUCACUAGUGUUUCAUUUCCCAUUUCAUUUCAGACUUUUUAUUGGUGUCGUUUUGGCAAGGACACAUUUAAUGCAAUUAUGAACUGCUUCUUUCAUUUGAUUAUCACAAUAUUAGAUAGUUGAUUUG